rnacentral:rRNA from 1 species
UGGGGAAUAUUGCACAAUGGGCGCAAGCCUGAUGCAGCGACGCCGCGUGCGGGAUGGAGGCCUUCGGUUGUAAACCGCUUUUGUUCAAGGGCAAGGCACGGUCUUUGGCCGUGUUGAGUGGAUUGUUCGAAUAAGCACCGGNUAACUACGUGCC